rnacentral:lncRNA from 1 species
UGAACAUGAACCCAAUUGCUUCAUGCAAGCUGUGUCUAUCUCUAAAUGAAGUAAUAUUACUGAACGUGAGUUAAUCACCUGUGGUACUUGGUCCUUAUGUCCAUGACCACUUCAUAAGCUCGUGACUCGUAAGAAAUGGGUAUACAAAAUAAAAACAAAAAUUGGAUGGCCGCAUAGAGAGGUACAAGACACGGCUAGUUGCCAAAGGCUUUGAUCAAUGUGAUGGUGUGGAUUAUCAUGAGAUAUUUGCGCCAGUAAUUAAACCUUCAACUAUUCGUUUAAUUCUAGCAUUGGCAGUCAAUUUUCAUUGGCCAAUUCAGCUAUUAUAUGUUUCAAAUGCCUUUCACAUGACAUAUUGGAUGAGGAGUGUUUAUGGUUCAGUCAAGAAGAUUCUUGAUGGAUCCCAACCUAAUUUUUUUGCAGGAUAUAUAAAUCUAUGGGCUUAAACAAGCUUUGAGAGCAUGGUUUAGAAGACUCUCACGACAACUACUUGAAUAUGAUUUCCUUGAAUCUUUUGUUGAUUCAUCUCUAUAUAUUUAUGGCAGGAAUAACUUAUAAAUAUUUGUUCUUGUUUAUGUAGACAAUAUCAUCGCGACAAGAACAAUACAACGGGUAUUACUCAGUUUAUUGCUGCACUAGGUAUGUUAAUCCCAAAUUCAAUUUAUCUACAUGUUGGGUAGUGGACUCUGGUGCUAUAAGUCACAUAUGCUCUUAUCAUUCCAACUUUAACUCCAUGAAACCUAUUCAGAAUUCGUUUGUCACACUGCCUAACCAUGAACAAAUUCCUGUUCAAUUUAUUGGGAAUGUAAGGUUAUCUGCUGACUUAAUGCUUGAAGAUGUGUUGUUUGUACCUCAAUUUAAAUUCAACUUGUUUUCAGUAAGUUUCUUAACUAGAAAGUCUUCUUUGAGCAUCAGAUUUCUCACUAAUUCAUGUGUGAUUCAGGAGCUGCACACCUUGAAGAUGAUUGGCAGUGGUGAGAAGGUUGUAGAACUCUAUGUUCUUGAUACUAGUUUACUUGAUCUGGUAGCAAAUAAACGUAGCAUUGUUACUAGUCAUACUUAGCAUCAUAGAUUAGGCCAUUUAUCUUUUAAAAGGUUAAAUUUGUUGAAAGACAAAUUGAGAAUUGAUUGGAUGAAGGAAUGUCAUUUUUGCUCUAUGUUCAAUAUGUCCUUUAGCCAAGCAAAGACGGCUUUCAUUUGUAUCAAACAAUCAUUUAGCUCAGGCUGUAUUUGACUUAGUUCACUGUGAUGUUUGGGGCCCCUAUAAUGUCCCUACACAUGCUAGUUAUAGAUACUUUUUAACAUUGGUUGAUGAUUGUAC